AGGUCAGAGGUGUAAGUGUGGUAACAUAUUUAGCUGACUGAUACUAAUAGGUCGAGGGCUUGACCAAUAA
rnacentral:rRNA from 1 species